AAUGGGGGCAACCCUGAUCCAGCCAUGCCGCGUGAGUGAAGAAGGCCUUAGGGUUGUAAAGCUCUUUCACCCGUGACGAUGAUGACGGUAGCGGGAGAAGAAGCCCCGGCUAAUUCCGUGCCAGCAGCCGCGGUAAUACGGAAGGGGCUAGCGUUGUUCGGAAUUACUGGGCGUAAAGCGCGCGUAGGCGGCCAUGCAAGUGAGGCGUGAAAGGCCUGGGCUCAACCUGGGAACUGCGUUUCAGACUGCACGGCUUGAGUCCGGGAGAGGGUGGUGGAAUUCCCAGUGUAGAGGUGAAAUUCGUAGAUAUGUGGAGGAACACCAAUGGCGAAGGCAGCCCCCUGGGUCGAUACUGACGCUCAUGCACGAAAGCGUGGGUAGCAAA
rnacentral:rRNA from 1 species